rnacentral:rRNA from 1 species
UACAGAGGCCUCGAGCGUUGUUCGGAAUUACUGGGCGUAAAGGGAAUGUAGGUGGUGACGUAAGUCAGAUGUGAAAGCCCUGGGCUUAACCUGGGAAGUGCAUUUGAUACUGCGUUGCUCGAGUGCGAGAGAGGAAAGCGGAAUUCCCAGUGUAGGAGUGAAAUCCGUAGAUAUUGGGAGGAAUACCGAUGGCGAAGGCAGCUUUCUGGCUCGUAACUGACACUGAGAUUCGAAAGCGUGGGUAGCAAACAGG